rnacentral:lncRNA from 1 species
AGAAUUUGUUGCUUUUGUAGACUCUUGUUUGCAGAUGGAUAGUAACAUUUUUAGGUUGUAUUUCAAGUAACCAGCUACACGGUUUUAAUUCGUUACUUUAAUCAAGUGCUAGAUGUCAUGAAAUUCUUUUAUGGGGCUUCCAAUGAAAAGGGCAUUGUAGUUAUACAACCUUAGAAUUUUCUUUAAUCCUGCAGCAGAAAAACAAAAACAACAAACCUAUAAUUUUAUGUUUGACAGGCAAUAAGAGAAAGAAAGAGAUGUGUUACUGCACACUGGUUAAACACAGUCUUAAAGAAGAAGAAAAUGGUACCGCCGCACCGAGCCCUUCACUUCCCAGUGGCCUUCCCACCAGGAGGAAAGCCAUGUUCACAGCAUAUUAUUUCUGUGACUGGAUUUGUUGAUAGUGACAGAGAUGACCUAAAAUUAAUGGCUUAUUUGGCAGGUGCCAAAUAUACGGGUUAUCUAUGCCGCAGCAACACAGUCCUCAUCUGUAAAGAACCAACUGGUUUAAAGUAUGAAAAAGCCA